rnacentral:ncRNA from 2 species
GUUAUAUGACUGACGGAAGUGGAAUUGACCACAGGGAGUAUAAUGUAUAGGAGCCGACCGUCUGGGCAG